rnacentral:rRNA from 1 species
AACGAACGCUGGCGGCGCGCCUAAUACAUGCAAGUCGAGCGAGAAGACGUAGCAAUACGUUUGUAAAGCGGCGAACGGGUGAGGAAUACAUGGGUAACCUACCCUCGAGUGGGGAAUAACUAGCCGAAAGGUUAGCUAAUACCGCAUACGACUCUCGGUCUGCGGAUCGAGAGGGAAAGCGAUACCGUGGGUAUCGCGCUCCUGGAUGGGCUCAUGUCCUAUCAGCUUGUUGGUGAGGUAACGGCUCACCAAGGCUUCGACGGGUAGCUGGUCUGGGAGGACGAUCAGCCACACUGAGACUGCGACACGGGCCAGACUCCUACGGGAGGCAGCAGUAAGGAAUAUUGCGCAAUGGGCGACAGCCUGACGCAGCGACGCCGCGUGGGGGAUGAAGGUCUUCGGAUUGUAAACCCCUUUCGGCAGGGAAGAUGGAGCGGGUAACCGCUCGGACGGUACCUGCAGAAGCAGCCACGGCUAACUUCGUGCCAGCAGCCGCCGUAAUAC